rnacentral:rRNA from 1 species
CAGUAGCCGCGGGAAUACGAAGGGGGCUAGCGUUGCUCGGAAUGACUGGGCGUAAAGGGCGCGUAGGCGGCGAUCAAAGUCAGGCGUGAAAUUCCUGGGCUCAACCUGGGGGCUGCGCUUGAUACUUGGUUGCUUGAGUGGGGAAGAGGGUCGUGGAAUUCCCAGUGUAGAGGUGAAAUUCGUAGAGAUGUGGAGGAACACCAGUGGCGAAGGCGACUCUCUGGUCUGUAACUGACGCUGAGGAGCGAAAGCGUGGGGAGCGAACAGGAUUAGAGACCCCAGUAGUCCCUGUCUCUUAUAA